rnacentral:rRNA from 1 species
GUGUCAGCAGCCGCGGUAAUACGUAGGGUGCGAGCGUUAAUCGGAAUUACUGGGCGUAAAGCGUGCGCAGGCUGUUUUGUAAGUCAGAUGUGAAAUCCCUGAGCUCAACUUAGGAACUGCGUUUGAAACUACAAGACUAGAAUAUGUCAGAGGGGGGUAGAAUUCCACGUGUAGCAGUGAAAUGCGUAGAGAUGUGGAGGAAUACCAAUGGCGAAGGCAGCCCCCUGGGAUAAUAUUGACGCUCAUGCACGAAAGCGUGGGGAGCAAACAGGAUUAGAAACCCCCGUAGUCC